GGGCGCCGCGUCCCUCCCCGCAGUGCCCGCGGGCGGAGCCGGGCAGGUGUUCCGCGGCGGCAGGCGCGGCCCCGGCCCCGGGCGCCCUGAAGCUUCACGCGUGUGAGUCUGGUAUAAUUUGGCAUCCUGAGAGUCUGUCUUAGCAAGAAGGAAGUGGAAAAUACCCUUGAAAAGAAAACUAAGACAAAAAAGAAAGCCGGACUUACUUUUACAUGGUUAACUGCACAUUUACCAAUAUGGACACCUUUCCCCCCAUUUUUCCUCCUGGUGGAGACAGUGAGCUGACAGGUUCUCAAUCCGAGUUACAAAAAAUGUUAAUUGAUGAAAGGCUACGAUGUGAACAUCAUAAAUCUAACUAUCAGACUCUUAAAGCUGAACACACAAGAUUGCAAGAUGAGUACAUAAAGUUACAAAAUGAACUUAAGCGCCUGUUAAAUGAAAAGCAAACUCACCAGGAAAAAUUUCAGCUGCUGCUCCAAGAGCUAAGAGGGGAAUUAGUAGAGAAAACUAAAGACUUAGAAGAAAUGAAACUGCAGGUAUUAACGCCACAAAAGUUGGAAUUGUUACGAGCCCAAAUACAACAAGAAUUAGAAACUCCAAUGAGAGAACGCUUUAGGAAUCUGGAUGAAGAAGUGGAAAAGUAUAGAUCUGAAUAUAAUAAGCUUCGCUAUGAACAUACAUUUCUCAAGUCAGAAUUUGAACACCAGAAAGAAGAACAUGCACGUAUCUUAGAAGAAGAAAAAAUAAAAUAUGAAUCAGAGAUUGCAAGACUGGAGAAAGAUAAAGAAGAAAUACAUAAUCAGCUGCUUAGUGUUGAUCCCACAAAAGACAGCAAACGAAUGGAGCAACUUGUUCGAGAGAAAGUCCAUUUGUCUCAGAAAUUAAAAGGUUUAGAGGCUGAAGUAGCAGAAUUAAGGGCUGAAAAAGAGAAUUUUGGUGCUCAGGUAGAAAAUGUCCAAAGAAUUCAGGUGCGGCAGUUGGCUGAGAUGCAGGCUACAGUCAGAUCCCUGGAGGCUGAAAAACAGUCAGCUAAACUACAGGCUGAACGCUUGGAAAAAGAGCUACAAUCAAGCAGUGAACAAAAUACUGUUCUAAUCAGUAAAUUGCAUAAAGCUGAACGGGAAAUAAAUACGUUGACCAGUAACGUGAAAGAACUUAAACAUUCAAACAAACUAGAAAUAACAGACAUCAAACUGGAGGCAGCAAGAGCUAAGAGUGAGCUAGAAAGAGAAAGAAAUAAGAUUCAAAGUGAACUGGAUGGAUUACAGUCAGACAAUGAAAUUCUCAAGUCAGCUGUUGAACACCACAAAGCUCUCCUAGUAGAAAAAGAUCGUGAAUUAAUACGUAAGGUACAAGCUGCCAAGGAAGAAGGUUAUAAAAAACUUGUGGUAUUACAAGAUGAAAAGAUAGAACUUGAGAACAGAUUAGCGGAUUUAGAGAAAAUGAAAGUGGAACGUGAUGUCUGGAGGCAAUCUGAAAAGGAACAGUGUGAAGAGAAAUUGCGGGCUUCACAGAUGGCAGAAGAGUCGGCCAGAAGGGAACUUCAGAGUAUUAGGUUAAAACUUCAACAACAAAUGGUGAAUAUUGAAAAUGCAGAGAAAGAAAAGAAUGAAAAUUCUGACCUGAAACAGCAAAUCAGUAGUUUGCAGAUCCAAGUGACUUCACUUGCACAGUCAGAGAAUGAGUUGCUGAAUUCGAACCAAAUACUGAAGGAAAUGGUGGAGAGGUUAAAACAAGAAUGCCGAAAUUUCAGAAGCCAAGCUGAAAAAGCACAACUAGAAGUUGAAAGGACUUUGGAAGAGAAACAGAUACAGUGGUUGGAAGAAAAGCACAAGCUUCAGGAACGUAUCACUGACAGAGAAGAAAAGUAUAAUCAAGCUAAAGAAAAACUACAGCGAGCUGCAAUUGCUCAGAAAAAGAGAAAAUCUCUUCAUGAAAACAAAUUGAAGAGACUACAGGAGAAAGUAGAAAUCUUAGAGGCAAAGAGAGAAGAAUUAGAAACAGAAAAUCAGGUGUUAAAUAGACAAAAUGUUCCAUUUGAAGAAUAUACAAGGCUUCAAAAAAGACUGAGGGACAUACAGAGAAGACAUAAUGAAUUUCGAAGUUUAAUUUUGGUUCCUAACAUACCUCCAGCAGCAUCCAUCAAUCCUGUUAGUUUUCAGUCAUCAGGCACGGUUCCGGGCAUGGACCUAUCCUUUCCUGCUCAUAUGCAGGAGGAACAGCAUCAAAGGGAACUCUCUCUACUUCGCAAAAGACUAGAAGAACUAGAAACAACACAAAGGAAACAACUAGAGGAACUUGGAUCUACGGGGGAAUGAUGUUCUUGGAGAAAAGGCAGAUCAAAAGGGAUGAAAUCAGUGUGACUCAAUAAAGCUUGAAGUUUUAACGAAUUCUGCUGGAAUAACUUCACGUGAACAAGGCAGAGUUGCAAGUCCGCCAAACUAAGUGGAAUGUUCAUUAUCCAGAAGUCUUCAGGAUCAAAAGUCCAGACUGUAGAAGCCUUCAAUGGGGACCAGACUUCUCACCUUUAUACUUGUUGGGAUAUCCUUGGCAUAGAGAAGUUUAUUAGUUGGUGCUUCCUGAAAAAAAGAGCAGCCAUGGCCAAGAGUAAAAAACCAUGGGGAAUUUGUAACAGUACCAGUGUAGCUGAACGUCCGCCAUGAUUACCUCCUAGUAACAAGGCUUGGUCAUGCAGUGGGCCUUCAUAAACGUUGACUGAAUGACUGACUGCUAUCUAGAUAGUUCUGACAGUUGUUUAUUGUUUGGAUGUUUACAAGAAAAAAAGCUUGAGACUCACAGGAGUACACAUAAGCAACACUAAAGCUAGGACUUACCUUCCCAAGUUGCUGCUCCGUGAGAGAAAAUGCGUCCAUGAAUGCCUGGGCAAUCACAGAUAAACAGCCGUCUAUGUGUGGUGUCUUCUUAAUGUCAAAGACAAACUGAGGGUUCUUCAGGAUGUUUACCCAGAAGCGAAGAGGAAGGCUGUUCCAAAGAGAAAUCUCCUUUCAGAUACAGCCCUCCGUAGGAGGCGGAUGCUCUGUUUAUCGCAGUUUGUAAACGGGCGUUUUUGCCCUUGUUACUGAAGUAUGCACGUCAGCUUUGCCAAACAUACCAAGCGACAGAUGGCAGCAUCGCUCAGAACACGAAAGGGUUAAACUGACAAGCGCUACUGAAAGGCAAGACUAGAACAGGAGAAAUGCAAAAGUGGCCACAGACAAGACAAGAAUUUUCUCCAAAUGGUUCUGGAUUGUAUUAGACGGUGGUCACCCAUGAAAACGUUUGAUCGAGUCUCCAGAACUUCCUCUUCUCACCCCCUCUAAGUGCCACACCCUGGCCUAAGCCACCGUUGUCUCUCAGCUGGGUUAUUAGCCCUUAGAACCCCACAACUACCAGCGAUCUUCCUAACACGGGGUCAGAUCAUGUCUCUCCUCUGCUCAAAACCCUCUGUGCUCUCCAUUUGCCUCAGGUGACAGUCCCUGCAUGGUCUGGGCCACGACCCUCAUCUGCUAAUCUUCACCUUAUUCCUUCUAACUCCACUACUGGGCGCUUCGUCAUUCUUCAUGCAUACCAGCAAGCUUGUAGCUCCGGACUUUUGCUUUUGCUGUCCAUCUUCCAGAAACUGUCCUCAAACAGAUAGGUCCAUUGUUUAUGCCCUCUCCUCUUUCAAGACCUGACUCAAGUAUCAUCUCUGACCACUCUAUCCUGUUACUCUCUAUCCUUUCCCCCCUUGUCUGCUGUACUAAACUUCUAAUAUACUAUAAUUUACCUAGUGCCAUUAAAAUGCAAGCCCUAUAAGAACACAAA